GGAUGUGAGAGCGAUUUGGCUGCACCAUCUGUCACUCCAUUGAUCUCCAGGGUUGAUUCAGCUGAUCUGGCUGGCUAGAUGGGUUUCCCCUUCUUCCCUAACUGCUCCAUGUGCAUACCUCCCAAAGCUGCACGCUCGGUGGAAGAGGAUGACCAUCCCAGAUAGAAGGAGUGUACCGAUCUUCGGUCAAGGAAGAGAUGUGGAAACUUGGUUUAGUCAGGAAAGCAGAAGACAUUGACUAAGAUUUAUAUUAACUUUCCUGCAGAUAAGAAAAUCAAGACAUCUUAGAGAGUUAUUUAUUUUUGUAGAGAUUAAUCUAAAGUCGUCUUAACUG
rnacentral:snRNA from 1 species